rnacentral:tRNA from 1 species
GGAUUGUGGCUGAGAGGUAGAGUACAUGCCUAGCAUGCGCGAGGCACUGGGUUCGAUUCUCAGCACCA